AGCUCCUGCUCUGAUUCCUCCUCCACAUUGCUACUGCUGCCUCACACUGCCACUGUUGCUCAGGACUGCUCUGUGGAGCAGCCAGUUUGCUGUACACUGCUCCUCUGGGCUACUCUGGGCUACUCUGUCUAUGGGACAGCUCUGCCCUGUCUGCGGAGCCACCAUUUUGCUAUACACUAUUGCUCUAAUAAACUUGCUUUCUUUCACUGUCAACUCACUCUUGAAUUCUUUCUUGAGCAAAGCCAAUAACCCUCCCAGGCUAAGCCCCAAUUUUGGGGUUCAUCUACAUCAGGCUCAGAGAGACCUUCUCCGAUCAUCCAAAAUAUACAGUCCAUCCAAUGUAUCUAACAUAUUUCCUAUUUUAUUCUCUUCAUAGCACUGACCACAAAUGAAUUCUUACUUAUUUGCUUAUCAUCCUUCUCUUCCAGCUAGAAUGUGCUCUCAUGGUACAGUCGUACUGUUUUGUCUCCCUAUGUCCCCAGUGUUUAGAACAGUUACUUAGUACACAGCAGGUGCUCAAUCAAUAUAGGCUCAGUUAAUGAAAAAAUGAUUAAAAGUUAAACUUGAGAUGUCUGUGAAAUAUCCAAGGAGUGGUGUCAAGAAGAGAGUUGUCAAGUAGUCAAGUGUGGGAAAGAUCCAACCUAGAGGUACAUAUUUGGGUAUUACUGGAACAAACUCAGUUUUUUUAAAAUUGAUAAAAAUUGAUGACAACAGCAAAGGAGAAUUUAAAGAAGGAAGAGCCUGAGCUCCAAGGAGCCCAAAAUUUACAGGUUGGGUGGAGAAAAGGGAACAAGCAAAGAAGAGUGAAAGAGAUCAGUGAGGUAGAAGGAAAUCCAAGAGAUAAGUUAUCCCAGAGGCUAAGAGACAAGACUGUUUCAAGGAUGAGGAAGCAGCCACCUAUGUGGAACACCACCAUUGGAAUUGCCAGCAUGGAGAUUGUCUGGGCCCUGAUAAGAGCAAUUUCAAGGCAGCGGUGAGGGCAGAAACCACUGGUGGAUGGGAGGUGAGGCAGUGGGAGCACUGAGUGUCAAUGACUUCAGAAGUUUAACUGAGAAGACCAGCGGAUAAAUUGGAUGUAGCUAUAGGCAGAUAUAGCUCAAAGAAAAAUUCUUAGCCAGGCGCAGUGGCUCACACCUGUAAUCCUAACACUUUGGAAGGCCGAGGGGAGCAGAUCACCUGAGGUCAGGAGUUUGAGACCAUCCUGGCCAACGUGGUGAAACCCUGUCUCUACUAAAAAUACAAAAUUGCUUGAACCUGGGAGGCGGAGCUUGCAGUAAGCUGAGAUCGUGCCACUGCACUCCAGCCCGGGUGACAGAACAAGACUCCGUCU
rnacentral:lncRNA from 10 species